rnacentral:rRNA from 1 species
GACGAACGCUGGCGGCGUGCUUAACACAUGCAAGUCGAACGGAAAGGCCCUGCUUUUGUGGGGUGCUCGAGUGGCGAACGGGUGAGUAACACGUGAGUAACCUGCCCUUGACUUUGGGAUAACUUCAGGAAACUGGGGCUAAUACCGGAUAGGAGCUCCUGCUGCAUGGUGGGGGUUGGAAAGUUUCGGCGGUUGGGGAUGGACUCGCGGCUUAUCAGCUUGUUGGUGGGGUAGUGGCUUACCAAGGCUUUGACGGGUAGCCGGCCUGAGAGGGUGACCGGCCACACUGUGACUGAGAUACGGCCCAGACUCCUACGGGAGGCAGCAGUGGGGUAUGUUGCACAAUGGGCUGAAGCCUGGUGCAUCAACGCCGCGUGCGGGAUGACGGCCUUCGGGUUGUAAACCGCUUUCGCCUGUGACGAAGCGUGAGUGACGGUAAUGGGUAAAGAAGCACCGGCUAACUACGUG